UACGGAGGGUGCGAGCGUUAAUCGGAAUUAUUGGGCGUAAAGGGUGCGUAGGUGGUUUAAUAAGUUAGCUGUGAAAUACCUGGGCUUAACCUGGGGGAGUCAGCUAAGACUGUUGGACUAGAGUAUGAGAGAGGGUAGUGGAAUUUCCGGUGUAGCGGUGAAAUGCGUAGAGAUCGGAAGGAACACCGGUGGCGAAGGCGGCUACCUGGCUUAAUACUGACACUGAGGCACGAAAGCGUGGGGAGCAAAC
rnacentral:rRNA from 1 species